rnacentral:rRNA from 1 species
UACGAAGGGAGCUAGCGUUGUUCGGAAUCAUUGGGCGUAAAGCGCACGUAGGCGGAUGUGUCAGUCAGGGGUGAAAUCCCGGAGCUCAACUUCGGAACUGCCUCUGAUACAGCACGUCUUGAGUCCGAUAGAGGUGGGUGGAAUUCCUAGUGUAGAGGUGAAAUUCGUAGAUAUUAGGAAGAACACCGGUGGCGAAGGCGGCCCACUGGAUCGGUACUGACGCUGAGGUGCGAAAGCGUGGGGAGCAAACAGG